UACGUAGGGGGCUAGCGUUAUCCGGAAUUACUGGGCGUAAAGGGCGCGUAGGUGGUUUCUUAAGUCAGAGGUGAAAGGCUACGGCUCAACCGUAGUAAGCCUUUGAAACUGGGAAACUUGAGUGCAGGAGAGGAGAGUGGAAUUCCUAGUGUAGCGGUGAAAUGCGUAGAUAUUAGGAGGAACACCAGUUGCGAAGGCGGCUCUCUGGACUGUAACUGACACUGAGGCACGAAAGCGUGGGGAGCAAACAGG
rnacentral:rRNA from 1 species